ACGGGAGGCAGCAGUGGGGAAUAUUGCACAAUGGGCGCAAGCCUGAUGCAGCAACGCCGCGUGAGUGAUGAAGGUCUUCGGAUUGUAAAACUCUGUCCUUAAGGACGAAACAAAUGACGGUACUUGAGGAGGAAGCCCCGGCUAACUACGUGCCAGCAGCCGCGGUAAUACGUAGGGGGCGAGCGUUAUCCGGAAUUAUUGGGCGUAAAGAGUACGUAGGUGGUUUUGUAAGCGUAAGGUGAAAGCCUGGGGCUCAACCCCAGCGAGCCUUACGAACUGCAAGACUUGAGUGCAGGAGGGGAAAGUGGAAUUCCUAGUGUAGCGGUGAAAUGCGUAGAUAUUAGGAGGAACACCGGUGGCGAAGGCGACUUACUGGACGGUAACUGACGUUGAGGCUCGAAAGCGUGGGGAGCAAACAGGAUUAGAUACCCUGGUA
rnacentral:rRNA from 1 species